UUAUAAUACUCAAGAGUCGAUAUUCAGGCCAUCCAUACGAAGGAAUUCCCCUCGACCAAACCCACAAAUUCGGGAGAACAAACAGCAAUUUUUCUUUGACCCCAAUUGUAAAAGAGCCCACUUCAUCAUCAGUGUUUAGUUAUACAAAAAUACGCCAAAAAGCUGUUGUGCUGUUCAAUCUACAUGUAACCAGGUCAAAAAUCUGAAUAUACAGUUCACAGUGUUCCACGUAGGGAAAUAGAUUCUGUGAGAAGAGCCAUGUGGCUUCAGGCUAUUCCGUGUGGGACGUGGGGACCCGGUGUCCAAGUAGCUAUGUGUGUGGAAAACAUUUCUUCACAGAUUUCUGUUCUCUCAUUACCUCUGGAAGAACAAACUGUUACAGCCUCGACCAGAGAGAAGUCUGUGUUUUACAGCUGAGCGACGCGUCUCCUUCCUGCUCCAGCAACAGCUGGUCAGAGAGAUCAGUCUGUCAAGGGACAACUUUAUACUACACCUUUACCACACCACAGAGACUGUCCAGACGCCAGAGGAAAGAGACUCGGUAUCCAUUUCAGUCCAACGGCCACAGCACUGGUGGAUGUCUGCAUUCCACUUCCUGUCUUGUAAAAGCCCUGUGUGGAUAGACAUCUCUUGCUCUGUGAUUUGUUGCACGGGUGGUAGACUUUGAUCCUUUAUCAGGAGACAGGCAGCAGGCCCUUAAACACACAACAUUCUAGAAGGAGGUCAAAGAGCAUAUUAGCAAAGGUGAAAUGGAGCCUCGACUGCUAGACUGGUACCUCCGUUACUGGAGCUCUGCUGCUUGUUCAGACAGUUGUUUGUUUGUACAACGUGGCUGUUGGUAUGUUACCUUCUUUCAAUAAUCCCUCCCAACAAAGGCAUUAUCUGACCUUGACCGUUCUUAUGGGAUACUGCAGGUAGAAAAGAGAAGCUGUUCUAAUCUUGCAUGUACCACUAGGAGCUUAGAGCAAUUUUACAUGCCAGCAACAAAAAACAACAUUAAAAGCAGCAUAUUCGAUGAUUGUUCAAAAGUGUGAUUUUUUGUCAUUUAAUAUGGAUUUAUUUAUUUUUUUAUCAAUGGGCUUAGUUUGCUUGACCCAAAUGCUUUGAUUCUACCUAUGUUAUUCCCACAAUUCUCACCUCCAUAUUCUAAAGUGGUAUUGUCCGAUUGACGCACUCGCUUUAGAGCGUGGCUACUGCUUGUGAUUCCUGUCUGUGUGUAUAAAAGGAUCUGCAUUGUGUUUGGUCUAUGUUCACUCAAAUCAAUCUUGUGAACUCUUCACAUUCGUGAAUGCUUGGGUAGAGCUCCUUCUCUGCUCCUGUAGUUUAAACCUUCAUAGUUCUCCUGGUACAACGACAACACGGCUUACUCUCUAAUCAAUGUCUCGCUCCUUCUAAGGAUGGAUUUGAGCUUCCUUUAUUCCUUCAUUUCUAAGAGUGUUCUUGUCAUGGUACAGGAGAAUGGUCACAAGGUCAAUCAAUUGCUGGUUAGGUGUGGAAGACCUGUGUCCUGGAUGUCACAUUUUCCCACUUAGUUACACAAAAGUUUUAAGUAGUUUAGUUUAGGUACAUAACUGAGGUUAGGAUUCAACCCUGAAAAAAGUACUUAAACCCGCAAACCCCUGAAGUAAUGAGUUGAGUUGUACUUCCCUUCCUCCCAUCCCUCUCUCCCAGAAGGGAGGGAAGAAAUAUGGCGCUGGACAAAGCACCUUGGUGGAGAUUAGACUGCACCAACCAUCCAUCACACUCCGGGCCGGUCCUUGGAAUAUAUUAUGUCCUGAUAAUCUGAUUGUGCAUGUCAAUGAACGAUGCUGCAGAAUUCCCCUCCUGUCCUUAGUACCUCCAUUAUUUGUAGGGUGGCUCAAGAUUGACAUUGGCCUUAACCGCAGAUCUAGGAUCAGAUUCCCUUACCCACAACCCUAACCAUUAGGUAGAUGGGGGGGGGGGGGGNNNNNNNNNNAAUUUAUUUAUGUAACUAAAUCACUGUUUUAUAAACUUGUUAAUGAUUCAACUUUUUUUUUUGUUUUAAUUAAAAUUAGUUUUUUGAGAGGAGACCUUGUGUGGUGUUUGUUUUUUCUAGUUCUGCUAUUUUUAUGCUGCGUCAUCAGUUGAGAAACGUUAUGUUUGGGUUUUACUUUCUUUUAUCCAAGAAUGUAAACCCUGGAACGCGUCUGGAAAAUAAUGAAUCCACUGAGAGUAGUAGUAAAAAGGAAGUCAAGUUCCCCCCCCCCC
rnacentral:lncRNA from 13 species